rnacentral:rRNA from 1 species
GAUGAACGCUGGCGGCGUGCCUAAUACAUGCAAGUCGAGCGAACGGACGAGAAGCUUGCUUCUCUGAUGUUAGCGGCGGACGGGUGAGUAACACGUGGAUAACCUACCUAUAAGACUGGGAUAACUUCGGGAAACCGGAGCUAAUACCGGAUAAUAUUUUGAACCGCAUGGUUCAAAAGUGAAAGACGGUCUUGCUGUCACUUAUAGAUGGAUCCGCGCUGCAUUAGCUAGUUGGUAAGGUAACGGCUUACCAAGGCAACGAUGCAUAGCCGACCUGAGAGGGUGAUCGGCCACACGGGAACUGAGACACGGUCCAGACUCCUACGGGAGGCAGCAGUAGGGAAUCUUCCGCAAUGGGCGAAAGCCUGACGGAGCAACGCGGCGUGAGUGAUGAAGGUCUUCGGAUCGUAAAACUCUGUUAUUAGGGAAGAACAUAUGUGGAAGUAACUGUGCACAUCUUGACGGUACCUAAUCAGAAAGCCACGGCUAACUACGUG